rfam:Sorghum bicolor cultivar BTx623 chromosome 3, whole genome shotgun sequence.
AUUCCAUGAUGGGGACAUUCUAGGAUGUAGUCUUGAAAGCGCUCCCAUGCUUCUGGAACCGAUUCAUCAUUUUGUUGCUGAAAACUUGUAAUCUUCCCACGGAGAGC